CAGCAGCCGCGGUAAUGCAGAGGAUGCAAGCGUUAUCCGGAAUGAUUGGGCGUAAAGCGUCUGUAGGUGGCUUUUCAAGUCCGCCGUCAAAUCCCAGGGCUCAACCCUGGACAGGCGGUGGAGACUACCAAGCUGGAGUACGGUAGGGGCAGAGGGAAUUUCCGGUGGAGCGGUGAAAUGCGUUGAGAUCGGGAAGAACACCAACGGCGAAAGCACUCUGCUGGGCCGACACUGACACUGAGAGAUGAAGGCUAGGGGAGCAAAUGGGAUUAGAUACCCCUGUAGUCCCUGUCUCUUAUAC
rnacentral:rRNA from 1 species